CCUCAUAUUGGCACCUGGUACAUUUCAAUGCUGGAGUUCCCUGUGACUCCCACUAUAAUCACGCUUGGCAUGUUUUUGUCUGACAACAGAAAUAACUUGCCAGGCAGCAUUGUUCUCCUCCCUAUACUGUACCUGGCGUAAUGAUGACACAGAGGGGAGUGACAAGGCAAUUUAUAUGCACAUGUAAACUCCAAAUAUAGCACUCUGCUGCUGGAAAACGGGAAAUCAAGCUUUAGGACUUUUAACAAUGACUGCAAGGGGCCCUGUGAAAGAGCUGCGGGACGAUUCACUGUGUCCACUCUGUGGGUGCUACUUUGAAGAUCCAGUGACCACAGAAUGUGGCCACAGUUACUGCAGGGGAUGCCUGGUAGCAAAAGCAGGGGGCAGAACAUACCCAGGAUUUCAGCUGAUCUGCCCUCAGUGUGGAAGGACAAUGGGCUGGAAAGCAGUGACCACUGAUGUCCGGCUGGGAGUGACUACUCGCAUUGCCCGCAGACUUAACCUCCAAGCUCCACCACCUCGGAAACAGAAGGAGCAGGGGAGGUGAGCGGUUAAGUGUGGAGAAAGAGAGAGAGAGAGAGAGCACACACAAGGACCCCAAUGAAGAGAAGGCAUCCACAGACCAUCUGAAACUCGUUAACUCAUGAUAUGUCAGAGCCUUGCAGUGUGUCGCUUAUGGACCUCAUCUGUAGAGAACGGAACAGCAGACUUCUUCUACCUCACUAUAUCAGGGGACGACUGUCAAAUUUCACUCCAGAAUGAGAAGAUAAUAUUCACCUCUUUAGCCAAAGCAUCACGCUAACUCAUAGCCAACAUAAGCUUUAAAAAUGACAAAGUAUAAUAUUAGUAUGAUAUUAGUUACAUUCAGUGUACACUGUUAACUUACACCCUUUGACCUGCAUUAAAGGUUUUCAGAUAUGGUUCAACAGCCUUGUUUGAAACUGGACAGUUUGGCACCUCUCCCCUGCGCCUUAUUUUUUUAACAAUAUUUCUUUCUUUCUAUAUUAUUGUGAUAUAAUUUUUUACCUGUUCUUAAAAAUGUUUGUGUUGUUUUUGUCUUGUUAAGGUAUGUGUAAAUAUACAGUAUAUAUCAGUUAUUUUGUAUACUGAUCUGUCAUUGAAGAAUAAAUACUUUUAAAUA